rnacentral:rRNA from 1 species
AUUGAACGCUGGCGGCAUGCCUAACACAUGCAAGUCGAACGGGGGUAGCAAUACCCUAGUGGUGGACGGGUGAGGAAUACGUAGGAAUUUGCCCUUAAGUGGGGGAUAACCCGGGGAAACCCGGACUAAUACCGCAUGAUCUCGUGAGAGCAAAGCAGGGGACCGCAAGGCCUUGCGCGUUUGGAGAAGCCUACGUCGGAUUAGCAAGUUGGUGGGGUAAUGGCCCACCAAGGCUACGAUCCGUAACUGGUCUGAGAGGAUGAUCAGUCACACCGGAACUGAGACACGGUCCGGACUCCUACGGGAGGCAGCAGUGGGGAAUAUUGGACAAUGGGCGAAAGCCUGAUCCAGCAAUGCCGCGUGUGUGAAGAAGGCCUUCGGGUUGUAAAGCACUUUAGGCUGGAAAGAAAAAGCUUUGGCUAAUAUCCAAAGCCUUGACGGUACCAGCAGAAUAAGCACCGGCUAACUCUGUGCCAGCCGCCGCUGUAAUAC